GUGAAUCAUCGAAUUUUUGAACGCAAAUUGCACUCUCUUCGGAGAGUAUGACUGUUUGAGGGUCAGCCUAAAAAAAAACGACGUAGUCGCUGUUUUGCGGUGACAUUGGUCGGGAAUUGGGUCAGCUUAUACCUUUAGGUUGUUUAAAAGGCUUAAAUUUCUUUUUACGCGUGCACCAUCGUUUC
rnacentral:misc_RNA from 1 species